CUCCCUUCCUUUGACUUCACCAUGGCCUGGCUCCUUCGUCUCUUUGCUGUUCUCAGCUCCUGCUCAGGUCUGGUUCUGGGUGGUUAAUGGGAUCAGGUCGUCUUGUGCUGAGAUAAUUGGUCAAGCAACAAACCCAGUUAUCUUGUGUAACUUACCAUAGAAACACAAUGUUUUUUUGAUCCUUAUCAAAACAGAAAAUGAUGCCUUUUCUUUUUCUUUUUGCAAAGGUGUCAUUUCACAGUCUGUAACUCAGCCAGCCUCGGAGUCUGUGUCCCUGGGCCAAACUGUGAAGCUCUCCUGCUCCAGAAGUAGUGGUAGCUGGGACAGCUUUGGCUGGUAUCAACAGAAACCUGGCCAGGCUCCUCGCUUUGUGUGGUAUGGCUACGACAGGGGAGAAGGGAUCCCAGAUCGGUUCACAGGUUUACCCUCUGGGAACAAUGGCUAUUUAACCGUCUCCAACAUCCGGACUGAAGAUGAGGCAGUUUAUUACUGUGGUGCCUGGAAGUAUGACAGCAACAUGUUU